rnacentral:tRNA from 1 species
UGGGCUGUGACUCAGUGGUAGAGUGCUUGCCUAGCAUGCAUGAAACACUGGGUUCAAGCCCGGCAACACAU